rnacentral:rRNA from 1 species
GACGAACGCUGGCGGCGUGCUUAACACAUGCAAGUCGAGCGGUAAGGCCUUUCGGGGUACACGAGCGGCGAACGGGUGAGUAACACGUGGGUGACCUGCCCUUCACUCUGGGAUAAGCCUGGGAAACUGGGUCUAAUACCGGAUAUUCACGCAUCUUCGCAUGGGGGUGGGUGGAAAGUUUUUUCGGUGGGGGAUGGGCCCGCGGCCUAUCAGCUUGUUGGUGGGGUGAUGGCCUACCAAGGCGACGACGGGUAGCCGGCCUGAGAGGGCGACCGGCCACACUGGGACUGAGACACGGCCCAGACUCCUACGGGAGGCAGCAGUGGGGAAUAUUGCGCAAUGGGCGGAAGCCUGACGCAGCGACGCCGCGUGGGGGAUGACGGCCU